GUGGGGUAGCCAAGUGGUAAGGCAUGGGACUGCAACUCCCUGAUCGUCGGUUCAAAUCCGAUCCUCAC
rnacentral:tRNA from 1 species